UGUCUGGGAAACUGCCUGAUGGAGGGGGAUAACUACUGGAAACGGUAGCUAAUACCGCAUGACGUCGCAAGACCAAAGAGGGGGACCUUCGGGCCUCUUGCCAUCGGAUGUGCCCAGAUGGGAUUAGCUAGUAGGUGGGGUAACGGCUCACCUAGGCGACGAUCCCUAGCUGGUCUGAGAGGAUGACCAGCCACACUGGAACUGAGACACGGUCCAGACUCCUACGGGAGGCAGCAGUGGGGAAUAUUGCACAAUGGGCGCAAGCCUGAUGCAGCCAUGCCGCGUGUAUGAAGAAGGCCUUCGGGUUGUAAAGU
rnacentral:rRNA from 1 species